rnacentral:sRNA from 1 species
AAGUUGGCAUCGGUGGUACUGCCCGGGA